rnacentral:rRNA from 2 species
UAGGGAAUCUUCGGCAAUGGACGAAAGUCUGACCGAGCAACGCCGCGUGAGUGAAGAAGGUUUUCGGAUCGUAAAACUCUGUUGUUAGAGAAGAACAAGGACGUUAGUAACUGAACGUCCCCUGACGGUAUCUAACCAGAAAGCCACGGCUAACUAUGUGCCAGCAGCCGCGGUAAUACGUAGGUGGCAAGCGUUGUCCGGAUUUAUUGGGCGUAAAGCGAGCGCAGGCGGUUUCUUAAGUCUGAUGUGAAAGCCCCCGGCUCAACCGGGGAGGGUCAUUGGAAACUGGGAGACUUGAGUGCAGAAGAGGAGAGUGGAAUUCCAUGUGUAGCGGUGAAAUGCGUAGAUAUAUGGAGGAACACCAGUGGCGAAGGCGGCUCUCUGGUCUGUAACUGACGCUGAGGCUCGAAAGCGUGGGGAGCAAACAGG